GUCAGUUGGAGAUCUGAGUGGAGGGGCUCUGCCCCGGUCCACUGUCUAGGUGCACGGAAGUUGAGGGGCGAGGUCUUCUACUCUCCAGCAAACUGGAACCAAUUCCUGGCGGUUCCCUGGAGGGUCCUGGCUUGUGCGUAUCAGGACGCCUCUCCGCGGUGCUCCCAGAGUGCAGAAGAGAGCAUUGGACUCCCUGGAGUUUCAGAUACUGUGAGCCUCCUUGUAUGCUGUGAAGUAAAUCCAGGUCCUUUGGAAAAACAGUACUUCCUUCUAACCACACAGCCAUCUCUUCAGGCCCUGCAACUCUUCAUAUGUAAUUAACAUAUCACAGAUACAUUUUACAAGCCUUUUCCUUUUCUUCUUUUUGAAAAGAAUUUUUCUAUAGCCUACACUGGCCUUGAACUUAAUUAUAUACUACAGGAUGACUUUGAACUCCUGAUCAAAUGGUCACUUUUAAAGACAAUGUAUCCCAUGGAAUAUGAUAAAAGUUUGUAUACGCAAGCAUCAGCUUCAAAACGUAAUAACUAAAUUGAUCACUGCUUUUGUAAUUGUUUUCCUACGCAGUCUCCUCAUCAGAAAUAGAGGGAUAAUAAUACAUAUUUCAUAGUUUUCAGAAGGCUUGCAUGACUUCAUCUAUGUAAUGCCCUUCGAUUAGAGGAGUAGGCUAGAGAGAAAAGGGGCUUAAAAGACUCAACAGUCAAUUGAAUUACUAUGGACCAAGAGAUAUGUCCAUAAAAUACGGGAUGCAAACCUUUAAGGGGGAUCCUGAUUGGAAUAGGGCAAUUGGGAAAAAAUACUAUAAGGCAAAUGGCAAAGUUUCAAUAUUCACUUGGUAAUACCAAGAAUUCAAAUUUCUUCUGAGUCUCACUAUGUAGCCCUGACUGGCAUUAAACCCACAGGCCUGCCUCUGCCUCCCAAAUGCAGUCAGUAGAGAGAUGUGUUCCAUCACAUGCUGCUUAGAAUCAAGAUUUCUUAUAUUUUUAGAUAUGAAGGGGAGCCAAGCAUAGUAACAUAUACUUGUAACCCCAGCACUCAGGAGGUAAAGACAAGAGGACCCGUAGUUUAAGAUUAUUCUCAGCUGUGUAGGUAGUAAAUUAAAAACCAGCCUGUCUCAAAAAAAAAAAACAAAAACAAAAACAAAAACCUAGAUAAAUAAUUAUUCACGGGGCUGAAGAGAUGACUCAGCGAUUUAAGAGCACAUGCCUUCCUAGAGGACCUGAGCUCCAGUCCCAGUGCCCAUGUUGGACAACCAGGGGAUGUGGCACUUCUGAACACCUGCACUCACACGCACAAACACAUACACGUAAUUUAAAAUAAAAUAGGUCUUAUAAACAAUGGGGGGGGGGACAUCUUCUUGGAGACAAGUGGGAGGAGGAAUGGGAUGGAAAAAAG
ensembl:antisense Gm26826 predicted gene, 26826